GACGAACGCUGGCGGCGUGCUUAACACAUGCAAGUCGAACGGAAAGGCCCUGCUCUUGUGGGGUGCUCGAGUGGCGAACGGGUGAGUAACACGUGAGUAACCUGCCCUUGACUUUGGGAUAACUUCAGGAAACUGGGGCUAAUACCGGAUAGGAGCUCCUGCUGCAUGGUGGGGGUUGGAAAGUUUCGGCGGUUGGGGAUGGACUCGCGGCUUAUCAGCUUGUUGGUGGGGUAGUUGCUUACCAAGGCUUUGACGGGUAGCCGGCCUGGGAGGGUGACCGGCCACAAUGGGACUGAGAUACGGCCCAGACGCCUACGGGAGGCAGCAGGCGGGAAUAUUGCACAGUGGGCGGAAGCCUGAUGCGGCAGCGCCGGGUGCGGGAUGACGUCCUUCGGGUUGUAAACCGCUUUCGCCGGUGACGAAGCGUGAGUGACGGUAAUGGGUAAAGAAGCACCGGCUAACUACGUG
rnacentral:rRNA from 1 species